GACCGCUCCAGUGGCCUAGUGGUUAGAGCGUCCGCCUCGGAUGGGGGAGGUCAUGAGUUCGAUCCCCAGCUGAGUCA